GGUCGGUAGCUCUAUUGGCAGAGCGCCGGGUCGCAGAUCCGAAGGUUGCAGGUUCGAGUCCUGCCCGACCACCA
rnacentral:tRNA from 1 species